AUGGCUCACCAAGGCGACGACGGGUAGCCGGCCUGAGAGGGUGACCGGCCACACUGGGACUGAGACACGGCCCAGACUCCUACGGGAGGCAGCAGUGGGGAAUAUUGCACAAUGGGCGCAAGCCUGAUGCAGCGACGCCGCGUGAGGGAUGACGGCCUUCGGGUUGUAAACCUCUUUCAGUAGGGAAGAAGCGAAAGUGACGGUACCUGCAGAAGAAGCACCGGCUAACUACGUGCCAGCAGCCGCGGUAAUACGUAGGGUGCGAGCGUUAUCCGGGAAUUAUUGGGCGUAAAGAGCUCGUAGGCGGUUUGUCGCGUCUGUCGUGAAAGUCCGGGGCUUAACCCCGGGAUCUGCGGUGGGUACGGGCAGACUAGAGUGCAGUAGGGGAGACUGGAAUUCCUGGUGUAGCGGUGGAAUGCGCAGAUAUCAGGAGGAACACCGAUGGCGAAGGCAGGUCUCUGGGCUGUAACUGACGCUGAGGAGCGAAAGCAUGGGGAGCGAACAGGAUUAGAUACCCUGGUAGUCCAUGCCGUAAACGUUGGGCACUAGGUGUGGGGACCAUUCCACGGUUUCCGCGCCGCAGCUAACGCAUUAAGUGCCCCGCCUGGGGAGUAC
rnacentral:rRNA from 1 species